AUUUUUCAUUUUGAUUAGAGGAUUCAAGGAUUUUAUUGUUGUUGGACUUUGCAAUUUUAUUGUAUUGUAUCGAAAUGGAAUGGAAAAGAAGUUUUUUUGUAAGAAAGAAUUGAUGUGGAAGGUAUGUUUGAGUGGGAACCUUCUUGCUGGCCGAAAACGAGAGCCAAUCCUUGGGUUUGACCGAGUCGAAUGCCGCGCGAUAAUUCCUCCGUGAUUCUAAGAAGCUGGCGUAAGAUGGAGAAUGUUCCGAAGGGACAACGUCAUAAGGAGCCUCGCGGCUUCUACGAAUCCACGAGUGAUCGUCGGUUGUUAAACGAUUGUCGUAGAUCUUGGCGUUUGCCGGCGUCCAACAGAUGGCCAAACUCAGGCAUAUCUGUGUCACAGAAAUUUAUCUUUAACUUAAGGAAAAGUAUCAAAUUAUUUGGAGCAUUAAAAUCAAUGCUUCAACGAUGAUUUCUCUUCAAAUGAUGAAUCCAGUUAAAUAUUAAUUUAUCAAUAAUUUAUCAAUAUCUGUUACAGAAAUUUUUAACUAAGGAAAAGUA